rnacentral:rRNA from 1 species
UACGUAGGGUGCAAGCGUUGUCCGGAAUUAUUGGGCGUAAAGAGCUCGUAGGCGGUCUGUCACGUCGGCUGUGAAAACCUGGGGCUCAACUCCGGGCCUGCAGCCGAUACGGGCAGACUAGAGUUCGGCAGGGGAGACUGGAAUUCCUGGUGUAGCGGUGAAAUGCGCAGAUAUCAGGAGGAACACCGGUGGCGAAGGCGGGUCUCUGGGCCGAAACUGACGCUGAGGCACGAAAGCGUGGGGAGCAAACAGG